AUUAGAUAAAAAACCAAUGCCCUUCGGGGCUUCUUGGUGAUUCAUGAUAACUAAACGGGUCGCAUGGCCUUGCGCCGGCGACGGUUCAUUCAAAUUUCUGCCCUAUCAACUUUCGAUGGUAAGGUAUUGGCUUACCAUGGUUUCAACGGGUAACGGGGAAUUAGGGUUCGAUUCCGGAGAGGGAGCCUGAGAAACGGCUACCACAUCCAAGGAAGGCAGCAGGCGCGCAAAUUACCCAAUCCCGACACGGGGAGGUAGUGACAAUAAAUACUGAUACAGGGCUCUUUUGGGUCUUGUAAUUGGAAUGAGUACAAUUUAAACCUCUUAACGAGGAACAAUUGGAGGGCAAGUCUGGUGCCAGCAGCCGCGGUAAUUCCAGCUCCAAUAGCGUAUAUUAAAGUUGUUGCAGUUAAAAAGCUCGUAGUUGAACCUUGGGCCUGGCUGGCAGGUCCGCCUCACCGCGUGUACUUGACCGGCCGGGCCUUUCCUUCUGGAGAACCUCAUGCCCUUCACUGGG
rnacentral:rRNA from 1 species